AUGCAGGGAAAGGAACUGGCUUCUGUUAAGAUCAAUGCCGCAGAUGUUGAGCUCAUUGUUAACGAACUCGAGCUAGAGAAGAAUGUGGUGGAGAGAACUUUAAGGGAGCACAAAGGCGAUGCCGUUGCUGCGACCAGGGAAUUGCUUUCACGAUAUCCUCUAUGAAUGGCCUUUUCCAGCUUUUACUACUUGCAGUUUCUUUUGUGUGUGAGGUUUGAGAACAAGUAUCCAAAUAUUUAACUCAAGUUCGAAGUUUUAGUCUUCUUAUCAAUUUAAAUCGGGCUGGUCUUGGAACUGUACUAAACUAUGGGAUAUUAUAGUAACAGAGGCACUUGCAAAGCAAAACAAAAUAUUCCGUUA